rnacentral:rRNA from 1 species
UACGAAGGGGGCUAGCGUUGCUCGGAAUCACUGGGCGUAAAGCGCACGUAGGAGGAUUUCUAAGUCAGGGGUGAAAUCCUGGAGCUCAACUCCAGAACUGCCUUUGAUACUGGGAAUCUCGAGUCCGGGAGAGGUGAGUGGAACUGCGAGUGUAGAGGUGAAAUUCGUAGAUAUUCGCAAGAACACCAGUGGCGAAGGCGGCUCACUGGCCCGGUACUGACGCUGAGGUGCGAAAGCGUGGGGAGCAAACAGG